GCAAUUCCGAGCUCGUUUCUUCCUCUCCUGCACAUGCUUGGCUAUUCUGACAGCCACACCGGCCCAGAGAGGGCUUUCUCCAAUCGUAAACUAUGUUCCUGGAACGUGAACUUCAUUUUGUUUGCCUUUCAAGAUACAGAAGUAUUUGGUUCUGUUUAUUUUUGUUCCAGAUGGGCAGGGCCCUCUUGCCUGUUCUGACUAAUCCACUCGUCAGGGCUGGAAUCUCCUAACAGUUCCUUCCUCCAGAGUGCUGUCACAUUCCCCCUCUACUGCCUGCUGAUCAAGAUGUAGAACUCUUGGCUCCUCCAGUACCAUAUCUGCCUGCAUGCUGCCAUGUUUUCCACUAUGAUGAUAGAAGACUGAACCUCUGCAACUGCUGGCCUGGCUACUUCCCAAAAUAGGAUCAGAGCUCCAAGGAAGCAGAGAGAGACAAGCAAGGUCUGUUGAAGCCCAAGCCUGGAACUGACACUAGCCCAUUCAAUACCUCAAAUUGGACCAAGGAAAUAACAGCAGUACAGACAAAGGGGAGGAAAACGACUGCAUUUUUCUUGGGAAGGACUGCAAAGAGUUAUGGAAUUCUUGUAAUUAACCAGUAAAGAGACGUACACCAA
rnacentral:lncRNA from 1 species